rnacentral:lncRNA from 1 species
AAUUUUGACAAUAAGUGUAGUAAUUGACUAAGUAUAGUCAUGAAUUCGAGUUAGACAAAAGAAUAAACUUAUGAUGUUUAGUACGUUGUAAUUGACUGGUAUUGUGAACGUAAUUGAUAUGUAGGAUUUAAAUCAAAGAACGAGUUUAGUUAAAGUGUAAUUUACGCACGAGGCAAGUUUCCUAACCCUACUUGUUAUUAUUAUAUAAGUUGAUGAAUUCACCUUUCUAUAUUGAACAAGUUCUCAUUAUUAUUGAUCGAGUUUGUUUUGUUAUAUUAAAGCCUAGUAAUCUUUCAAGCAUGAUGCUAUUUUGUUAUAUUAAAGCCUAAUUAUUCUUUGAGAUUGUAUCCAAGUUGAAUAUUCAAUUAUUAUUAAACCUUGUUAGACUAGCGAAUCCUUUAUGAUUCGACUAGUCCAUAGUUGAUGAGCGUUCUAAAUUUCAGAACCCUUAAUGAAUUAUCCAAACCAAACUUCCUUUGGUGCGGACUCGAAUGUCAAACUGAGAUGAACAACCCUGUAUAGGGGAUUACUUAUGUGUUAGCGUUAAGAUAUUGUGCACAGUAUGGUACUAAGGGUUGAUUCCUAAGUACGAGAAGAAAGGUCCAUAGUCUUAUGACUGUUAAAGGUUUCAAGUAUAACCCUUGUUAACCUAGGACAUAGUUCAAGGUCUUAUGACCCUCAGAAAUCUUUUGAUUCUUGUUACUUAUUCUUGAUUCAAAAGUUGAGAUUUUAUUUCAGAAGUCUUUGAUUCACUCGAAUGUUGUUAUACAUUGUUAUUUCAUUAUUUUACUUGUGGGCAAUAGUGCUCACCCUUGCGUAAUAAUAACAUUGCAGUUAAGAACGAAAGGUCCGACGAGCCUUCUACUAGCAAAGGCAAGGGCAAGAUUAACAAGUGAUGAAUACUUGUUGUUUUAUAUGAUGAUGUAUUUUUGUUUAAGACUUAAGUUAAUGAUGUUGUUUAAGACUUAAUUGUUUAUGUUUCCGCACAGAUGUUAAGGUUAGUUUAACCUGGGAUUGUAUUUAUUAUUUGGAUGUUAUAACCCCAUAAGGGGUGGAUUGUUAUUUCUAUCUAUUGCAUGGUUUGCAUUUAUUAUGGGUAGAUAGAUAGAUGAUAUUUGUACACUGAACACCAAAUCCCGUAGAAUUGAAGUAUCCGAAUUUGGGGGUGUCACAGUAAAAGUACAGUAAUACGCGUGGUUGCAUAGUAGCACACGAUAUUGAUUAUUGAUGCUUAUGUGAGAAGUCACUCAGUUAUACUCAAUUAUNN